rnacentral:rRNA from 1 species
UACGGGGGGAGCAAGCGUUGUUCGGAUUUACUGGGCGUAAAGGGCGCGUAGGCGGCCACCGCAAGUCGGUUGUGAAAUCUCCGGGCUUAACCCGGAAAGGUCAAUCGAUACUGCGGGGCUAGAGUGCAGAAGGGGCAACUGGAAUUCUCGGUGUAGAGGUGAAAUUCGUAGAUAUUCGGAAGAACACCAGUGGCGAAGGCGGCUCACUGGACCGGCAUUGACGCUGAGGCGCGAAAGCGUGGGGAGCAAACAGG